CUUUUUUAAAGAGUGACGGGCGAUUUGUGCAUGCUUAAUUUCAUUCUAUUCAAAAAAAAUUUAUUUUUUUUUUUAUUUUUAAUUUCAAGUCCUUUUUCUUAAAUUUUGCAUUAUUAAUCCAAUAUUUUUUUUUGUAUCCCAUAAAUUUACUAAAUUAUCAUCUCUGUCUUGAUUUAUAUUUUUAUGAAUCUAAUUUUAAAGUAAAGAUUUUAAAAUUUAAUUUUAUACAAUGAUAUAGAAGAUAAAAAAUUAAGUUCAGUGUAUCGUGGGUUGUCUAUUAUAAUACAGGAUCCCCUACUUUGUUUAAGCACCGCCAUUUUAUUUAAAUUUUGUUUAAUUAACUACUACUUUUUAUUUUUUUAAAA
rnacentral:rRNA from 1 species